rnacentral:lncRNA from 1 species
AAUAAGAGUGCAAACAAUUGGAUAAAAAGCUCAAAUUUAUUUGAUGGAAUGGUAGUCUGCAAAUGGCAAGGCUCCAUAGAUCUGUACAAAUUUGAAAUCAAUGAUGUAUAUUGGAAGAGGGCUACAUUGAACAUAAUGAUCCUUUCUCUACCAAUUUGAAUCUCGAUGUAUUCGAAGCUUCAGUUGACGACGAACCGAG